UACGUAGGUGGCAAGCGUUGUCCGGAUUUACUGGGCGUAAAGGGCGUGCAGGCGGUUUGUUAAGUGCGAGGGUGAAAGCUCCCGGCUCAACUGGGAGAGGUCCUUGCAUACUGGCAAACUCGAGGGAGGCAGAGGAAAGUGGAAUUCCCGGUGUAGUGGUGAUAUGCGUAGAUAUCGGGAGGAACACCUGUGGCGAAGGCGGCUUUCUGGGCCUUACCUGACGCUGAGACGCGAAAGCGUGGGGGAGCGAACCGGGAUUAAGAAACCCUUGAUAC
rnacentral:rRNA from 1 species